CAUUUUAGUACACUCCGCCCUUGCCUCUUGCCCUAACCCUCUGUUCUUCACCUUUUCCCGAAUCUCCUCCACCUUCACACAAACUAACAAACUAUUUGCAUCACCGUCGGCUAAUAGUUGCUGUCCUCACUCCUCAGAAUCCUUAUUUUAUCUUUUUCGUAUCCAUCUUCUAUGAGUUCUCUCUCUGACUCUGUAAUUGACCAGGAGCAAAAUUGCAUAAUAUUCUGAGGGAAACUAUCACGGAGGCUCUGAAAAUCUUAAUUGAGACUCUAAACAUCGUCGGAGGCGAAGAAGACGAACAGGUUAGGCUAUACGGCUCUCAAAGGAUGAGAACCGGCUCACCAAAAGAGGGACCUGACUCUACAAGGGGUAGAGCCAGCUCAACAUGAAGUGGAGAUGGCUCCACCAAGGGGAGAGCCUGCUCCUUUAUUUUAGGAGGCGGCUCUACCCUCAUUUCUUUAAUUUUUCGAGUUCUGGGUUUGGUUUAGACUGUGGGAGUUGUUUUAAAUGGUUCCAGUGGCUGUGAAUAAGAUUUAUAUCUGUUACAGACUUGUAAAAACCCUUGGGAAGCAUGUUGAUGUUGAUAUGUUGAAACAGGAAAUAAUAUUAGGUUAAACAAUAAACCUGUAUGUGGAA